UACGUAGGGGGCGAGCGUUGUCCGGAUUUAUUGGGCGUAAAGAGCGUGUAGGCGGCCAGGUAGGUCUGCUGUGAAACUCGAGGCUCAACCUCGAGACGUCGGCGGAAACCAUCUGGCUAGAGUCCGGAAGAGGAGAGUGGAAUCCUGGUGUAGCGGUGAAAUGCGCAGAUAUCAGGAAGAACACCCGUGGCGAAGGCGGCUCUCUGGGACGGUACUGACGCUGAGACGCGAAGCGUGGGAGCGAACAGG
rnacentral:rRNA from 1 species